rnacentral:rRNA from 1 species
GAUGAACGCUGGCGGCGUGCCUAAUACAUGCAAGUCGAGCGAACAGACGAGGAGCUUGCUCCUCUGACGUUAACGGCGGACGGGUGAGUAACACGUGGAUAACCUACCUAUAAGACUGGGAUAACUUCGGGAAACCGGUGCUAAUACCGGAUAAUAUAUUGAACCGCAUGGUUCAAUAGUGAAAGACGGUUUUGCUGUCACUUAUAGAUGGAUCCGCGCCGCAUUAGCUAGUUGGUAAGGUAACGGCUUACCAAGGCAACGAUGCGUAGCCGACCUGAGAGGGUGAUCGGCCACACUGGAACUGAGACACGGUACAGACUCCUACGGGAGGCAGCAGUAGGGAAUCUUCCGCAAAGGGCGAAAGCCUGACGGAGCAACGCCGCGUGAGUGAUGAAGGUCUUCGGAUCGUAAAACUCUGUUAUUAGGGAAGAACAAAUGUGUAAGUAACUAUGCACGUCUUGACGGUACCUAAUCAGAAAGCAACGGCUAACUACGUG